UACGGGGGGAGCAAGCGUUGUUCGGAUUUACUGGGCGUAAAGGGCGCGUAGGCGGCCAGCACAAGUCAGUUGUGAAAUCUCCGAGCUUAACUCGGAAAGGUCAACUGAUACUGUGCGGCUAGAGUGCGGAAGGGGCAACUGAAAUUCUUGGUGUAGCGGUGAAAUGCGUAGAUAUCAAGAGGAACACCUGCGGCGAAGGCGGGUUGCUGGGCCGACACUGACGCUGAGGCGCGAAAACCAGGGAAGCGAACGGG
rnacentral:rRNA from 1 species